UGGGGAAUAUUGCACAAUGGGCGCAAGCCUGAUGCAGCCAUGCCGCGUGUAUGAAGAAGGCCUUCGGGUUGUAAAGUACUUUCAGUCGGGAGGAAGGUGGUAAGGUUAAUAACCUUAUCAAUUGACGUUACCGACAGAAGAAGCACCGGCUAACUCCGUGCCAGCAGCCGCGGUAAUACAGAGGGUGCAAGCGUUAAUCGGAAUUACUGGGCGUAAAGCGCACGCAGGCGGUUGAUUGAGUCAGAUGUGAAAUCCCCGGGCUUAACCCGGGAAUUGCAUCUGAUACUGGUCAGCUAGAGUCUUGUGGAGGGGGGUAGAAUUCCAUGUGUAGCGGUGAAAUGCGUAGAGAUGUGGAAGAAUACCGGUGGCGAAGGCGGCCCCCUGGACAAAGACUGACGCUCAGGUGCGAAAGCGUGGGGAGCAAACAGG
rnacentral:rRNA from 1 species